UACGGAGGGUGCGAGCGUUGUCCGGAAUCAUUGGGCGUAAAGGGCGCGUAGGUGGCCCGGUCAGUCUUUGGUGAAAGCGCGGGGCUCAACCCUGCGUCGGCCAGGGAUACUGCCGCGGCUCGAGCACUGUAGAGGCAGGCGGAAUUCCGGGUGUAGCGGUGGAAUGCGUAGAGAUACGGAAGAACACCGGUGGCGAAGGCG
rnacentral:rRNA from 1 species